rnacentral:rRNA from 1 species
GAUGAACGCUGACAGAAUGCUUAACACAUGCAAGUCAACUUGAACUUGGGUUUUUAACUUAGGUUUGGGUGGCGGACGGGUGAGUAACGCGUAAAGAACUUGCCUCACAGUUAGGGACAACAUUUGGAAACGAAUGCUAAUACCUAAUAUUACGAUAAUAGGGCAUCCUAUAAUUAUGAAAGCUAUAAGCGCUGUGAGAGAGCUUUGCGUCCCAUUGGCUAGUUGGAGAGGUAACGGCUCACCAAGGCGAUGAUGGGUAGCCGGCCUGAGAGGGUGAUCGGCCACAAGGGGACUGAGACACGGCCCUUACCCCUACGGGAGGCAGCAGUGGGGAAUAUUGGACAAUGGACCAAGAGUCUGAUCCAGCAAUUCUGUGUGCACGAUGAAGUUUUUCGGAAUGUAAAGUGCUUUCAGUUGGGAAGAAAGAAAUGACGGUACCAACAGAAGAAGUGACGGCUAAAUACGUGCCAGCAGCCGCGGUAAUACGUAUGUCACGAGCGUUAUCCGGAUUUAUUGGGCGUAAAGCGCGUCUAGGUGGUUAUGUAAGUCUGAUGUGAAAAUGCAGGGCUCAACUCUGUAUUGCGUUGGAAACUGUAUAACUAGAGUACUGGAGAGGUAAGCGGAACUACAAGUGUAGAGGUGAAAUUCGUAGAUAUUUGUAGGAAUGCCGAUGGGGAAGCCAGCUUACUGGACAGAUACUGACGCUGAAGCGCGAAAGCGUGGGUAGCAAACAGG